rnacentral:rRNA from 1 species
GACGAACGCUGGCGGCGUGCUUAACACAUGCAAGUCGAACGGAAAGGCCCUGCUUUUGUGGGGUGCUCGAGUGGCGAACGGGUGAGUAACACGUGAGUAACCUGCCCUUGCCUUUGGGAUAACUUCAGGAAACUGGGGCUAAUCGCGGCUAGGAGCUCCUGCUGCAUGGUGGGGGUUGGAAAGUUUCGGCGGUUGGGGAUGGACUCGCGGCUUAUCAGCUUGUUGGUGGGGUGGUGGCUUACCAAGGCCUUGACGGGUAGCCGGCCUGAGAGGGUGACGGGCCACAUUGGGACUGAGAUACGGCCCAGACUCCGACGGGAGGCAGCAGUAGGGAAGAGUGCACAAUGGGCGGAAGCCUGAUGCAGCAACACCGCUGGCGGGAUGACGGCCUUCGGGUUGGAGACCUCUAUCGCCUGUGACGAAGCGUGAGAGACGAUAAUGGGUAGAGAAGAACCGGCUAACUACGUG